rnacentral:rRNA from 1 species
AUUGAACGCUGGCGGCAGGCCUAACACAUGCAAGUCGAACGGUAACAGGAAGCAGCUUGCUGCUUCGCUGACGAGUGGCGGAUGGGUGAGUAAUGUCUGGGAAACUGCCUGAUGGAGGGGGAUAACUACUGGAAACGGUAGCUAAUACCGCAUAACGUCGCAAGACCAAAGAGGGGGACCUUAGGGCCUCUUGCCAUCGGAUGUGCCCAGAUGGGAUUAGCUAGUAGGUGGGGUAACGGCUCACCUAGGCGACGAGCCCUAGCUGGGCUGAGAGGAUGACCAGCCACACUGGAACUGAGACACGGUCCAGACUCCUACGGUAGGCAGCAGUGGGGAAUAUUGCACAAUGGGCGCAAGCCUGAUGCAGCCAUGCCGCGUGUAUGAAGAAGGCCUUCGGGUUGUAAAGUACUUUCAGCGGGGAGGAAGGGAGUAAAGUUAAUACCUUGGCUCACUGACGUUACCCGCAGAAGAAGCACCGGCUAACUCCGUG